GGGAUGGGGAAGUGUCGGCUGCUGCUGGCGUUUCAUUCCAGGUCAUCAGAUGGGUUCUAUUUUCAGGGCCCAUCUAUCACCCCAUCUUGCAGUGUGGAGCCUCGAGUUCUCCAAAUGCCCGGAUCGCAGCUGUCACUGAGCAGUUGCAUCUGUUACACAGUAAAGGAGUCCUAGAGAAGUGCUGCCAAGGGGAACUCAUAAAAAAGCUGCUGCUGGAGACUCAGAUGUGCCCUGCUGAGCGAGGCAGUCUCCCCCUACUUACCGUGCUGCAGUGAGCCGCAGUCACCCGCGGGGGAGUUGAAGAAUAAGUUGAAUAUGGUUGAACACGGUGGCAUCAUACUGCUCAGCCAUCUCUGGGGUUAACUGCAGAUGAGAUAAUUCCUGUAUAACUCCUGGAUCCUCUAGGGCAUUCUGCCACUGUAUCCACACUUCAUGGUACAAGGGCGAAUGGACAGAUCUCCAGCUUCCAAGUGAAACGUGAAGGCGACUCGACAAGGAUUUCUGUUAGGGCAAUAGUUUUGCUUCAUGAAGACUAGGAAGGCUUGAACUCAGGACAAUGGGUAUCUUGAAUUUACUCAGUUCCCAUCUCUUAAGUUAUUAAACAUUAUUUCCCACCUGUCUUGUGUAUUUUUGCUUGAUCCCUAUAAUAUGGGGGCAGGCAUAAUUUUGUAUAACCCCUGUAAGACGUGUGCCAGGUACAAUUGGCCCUAUUUCCUAUGUGGGGAAACUGAGACUCAGAGCAGAGAAGCGAAUCUCCUAAGUCACACGUUGUAUUGCUGGCAGAGUCUCGGGCGGGAGUCCUGCCUCCUGAUUUCCAGGUACAUGCUGCUUUUGCUAGAACCAAUCUAUUAAAGAACCAAGACUCUUUAUUUGGAAUUAAUGAGGGAUUCCAAAAAUAGUGUUAGCAGUGCUUAACAAAUUUGGAAGAGCAAAGGAACUGAAGCCAGAGAAGACUGAGAUAGGGGAGCUGUUUCAUUGUAUCAAUUUCUAUUCACUUUAUUAAUAAUUGAUGCCACAUUUACUCAUUGUUAUAUAUUAAAAAUACUUGAUUUGCU
rnacentral:lncRNA from 1 species